GUGCCAGCCGCCGCGGUAAUACGUAGGCAGCAAACGUUGUUCGGAGUUACUGGGCGUAAAGAGUACGUAGGCGGUUUGCUAAGUUUGGUGUGAAAUCUCCCGGCUUAACUGGGAGGGUGCGCCGAAAACUGGCGAGCUUGAGUGUGGGAGAGGGAAGCGGAAUUCCUGGUGUAGCGGUGAAAUGCGUAGAUAUCAGGAGGAACACCGGUGGUGUAGACGGCUUCCUGGACCACAACUGACGCUGAGGUACGAAAGCGUGGGGAGCAAACAGGAUUAGAAACCCGUGUAGUCC
rnacentral:rRNA from 1 species